UACGUAGGGUACAAGCGUUAUCCGGAAUUAUUGGGCGUAAAGAGCUCGUAGGCGGUUUGUCGCGUCUGCUGUGAAAACUGGAGGCUCAACCUCCAGCCUGCAGUGGGUACGGGCAGACUAGAGUGCGGUAGGGGAGAUUGGAAUUCCUGGUGUAGCGGUGGAAUGCGCAGAUAUCAGGAGGAACACCGAUGGCGAAGGCAGAUCUCUGGGCCGUAACUGACGCUGAGGAGCGAAAGCAUGGGGAGCGAACAGG
rnacentral:rRNA from 1 species